CAUGGGGACUUGGCAGGAGCAGAGCUGGGAGAAUAAACUCCCAACCUCUUUCUCUUCUCUCCUUGGAUCUUCUGCUGCCUUUUAUUGGUCAAACCCGACAGGACGCCGAAGGACAGCAGAGUUGGUUGAUGGAGACCAUCUGGUCAGCCUCCUGGCGUGCGUGGCAGGGCUGAGAAGGUGGCAAGUGAAUAUGGGGCUGGGACUGGAAGACAUCCACGGCAGAUGACUGUAAGGAACAGAAAGAUAAAGAGAUUGCGACUUACCUGAGGUCACACACCGGUGAGACUAAAACUAUGCCUGUGAUGACACCACUGAAGCAUCUACGGCACGGAUGCCCACUCUUCUGUCAGAGUCCACAUGUCAGCCAGUACCAAGGUGACAGGAGAUUUCUCUCUAUUUAGACACUCAGUACCUUGUGAACUGUUAAUAAUAUCAUUUUCUUUCUCUUUAUUUCUUUUUUUUUUUUUUGAGAUGGAGUCUUGCUGUGUCACCCAGAUUACAGUGGUGUGAUCUUGGCCCACUGCAACCUCUGCCUCCUGGGUUCAAGCAAUUCUCCUGCCUCAGCCUCCCGAGUAGCUGUGAUUACAAUCACAAUUAGCCUGGCUAAUUUUUGUAUUUCUUGGUGGAGAUGGGGUUUCACCACAUUGGCCAGGCUGGUCUUGAACUCCUGACCUCAGGUGAUCUGCCUACCUUUGCCUCCCAAAGUGCUGGGAUUGUAGAUGCGAGCAGUGCUGGGAUUAUAGAUGGGAGCAGUGUUGGGAUUACAGAUGCGAGCUACUGUGCCCGGCCAAUAAUAUUAUUUUCAUACACAACUCUUUUUCCUGUGGGACUUUAAGACAUCU